AACCAAGAAUCUCAAGCCAAGUGAGAAGUCAACACAAGUAGUGCAACAAUGCCAUCAACCACAACUAGGGUUCCCACUACCUCAAAGCAAACCACAUGAUUCAUAAGCCUCCCAGGUCAAGGAUUAGGGUUUGGUGUGAAAUGCAUACCAAGAUGCAACCUCCAAGACCUUAAGCAUCUAACAACUAGGGUUUUGAUGAAUCCCAAGUCCAAAAGUCAACCAACAUGGCACUUAAGCACCAAUUAUCCCAGAUUAGGGUUUCAAACACAAC
rnacentral:lncRNA from 1 species